GACAAUCUGUAAUGUUGUCCAUCAAUCAAACAAUUGGAAAAACUUUUCCAACAGGAAAGAGUAUCAAGAUAUUUUGAGGCUUGAGAAGAAAAUGGAUACUAUGUCCAGAGACCAACGUCAGAAGUACAUUAACAAAACAUUGAGGAGGAAAGACAGGUUGUUGGAAGACUUGAAGAGGGUAUGGUUGAUGAUAAUGACGGAAUGGAAAUGUACACCGAGUGGACGAACACCCGAAAGAAAACUGUCGAGAAGUUGUACUUUAUUAUUGGGCACGGUAUUCUUCGCAAAGAACUACGUGAUGAAAUUCUAUGCCAAAUUGUGAAGCAGCUUCAUCAGAAUCCAAAUGAGUCAUCGCGGGCUUUAGGUUGGAUUUUAUUAUCCAUGUGUAUUGGAUGCUUCCCACCGUCUGACUUACUUUACAAUUACCUGCGUGCAUUUAUUCGCACAUCAGCACCACCCGCGUAUGCCGGCUACUGUGAAAUGCGUUUGAUUCGUACGAAAAAAAAUGGUGCCAGGAGUCAACCGCCGGCCGCCAUGGAAAUUGCCGGUGCUAAAAGCACACAACAGUUAACUGUCAGCGUGCAGUUGAUGAAUAAACAAACUAUUGAUAUCAACGUUGAUAGCGCAACAACCGCUAAAGAAAUGUGCGAUGAAAUAGCACGCAAUUUAAACAUUAAAGACAACGACGGAUUUUCAGUUUUAUUACUUGUUGUGACAAGGUUUUGUCUAUUGGUAACGAUAGCGAUCAUCUUAUGGAUGCUAUUUGUCAAUGUGAGCAAUAUGCGAGAGAAUUGGGCAAGUUUGAAAGAGAACCAGGCUUGUGGAAGCUGAUCUAUCGCUUUGAAAUGUUCACUCCAUGGUAUGAUGCAAAGGCAGAUCCGAUGGCAACAGAACUUAUUUACUGCCAAAUUAUCAGUAGUUUUAAACACGGUGAAUUUGGUUAUCCGAAUGAUGAAAUGUCUGCUACUCUGGUUGCGCAAAGAUACUACAUUGAGCAAGGUGCUUCUUUGAAUAUGAAUGUACUUGAUAAUAAGUUCCAUGAAUACGUCCCCAAACACGUCAAGGUUAGAAGUAAUUUAGACGAAUUCAAGAAGAAAGUAAUAGAAAUCUUUCUGAAACUACCUGCAGUCAAAGAGAAACAGAAUCCAAUCAGGGUCAAGGAAAAUAUUGUUAAGCAAGCAAUGGAUGCCUUCCCGAUUAUGUUCUCAAAAUUCUUUGAAGCUAUAGUCGUUUCCGGUUUAGAUCUACCUAAGAACAGCAUAAUUAUUGCAAUCAAUUGGAGUGGAGUCUUUUCAUUGAUCAACAGGAAAAGAUAUUAUUGGAUUUAUCAUAUCCUGAACUUGUUAGGGUCACCUUCACACCUGAUGAACGAUCGCAAAUGGGCAAAGUCACAUUAUACGCGGUUACAAAUGAAGAGUUUGUUCUCCAAUCCCCGGAAGCACACAGAGUUAAUGAAGUAUUGAACAAAUUGCUGUAUGGCCUCAGACAAAGAUCACAAUAUUGUGUGGCUGAAAAAGAUUGCAAAGAUGAUGGAUAUCUACAAUUCAGACGUGGUGAGUUGAUUACAUUAGCAAAUGGCAUGACAGGAGCAGACGCACAAACAUGGGCCACUGGAAUAUGCCAAGGACGGCAGGAGACUUCCCAAUGGAUCAUGUAAAUGUCCUACCAUGUCUUCAACCACCCUCACAAGAAGUCCUAGACGCUUACAAGAAAGGAAUGUUUACUUAUAAACACCGUAAGGGUGACACAGUGAAGAGAUUGAAACAGCAUACGUUAGUACAAUACGCUGAAGAGAAUUACAGAGCUGCCCGACGUUUGACAGAACAAACUUCUUCAGUAUUGGGCACUAUUGCAGCAAAGCAAACUGAAGAACUAUGGAAAUUCACCGCAAAGCCAAUGAGACAAGCAUUACUAAAACGUGUUUUAGAAGAUCCCGAUCGUAGUUUGAACACUAAAGCUUGUGAAGUGUUUAUGAAUAUUCUAAGAUACUUGGAGCUUACACCUGGUAAACAAGGUGAAUCCGUGAAGUAUGCAGCGGCUACUUUUGAACCCUGUAUGGACAGUGAGCUACUACAUGAUGAAGUUUAUUGUCAGAUUAUGAGACAACUUACUUAUAACCCAAUGGAUCAAUGCGAGCGAAAAGCAUGGGAAUUGUUGUACCUUGCUACUGGACUUUUCCUUCCAAGUCCACCUCUACUUGCUGAAGCAAUGAAGUUUACAGAUUCACGAGUUCAUCCACUUGCUUCAGUGUGUCAUGAUAGAUUACUACAAAGACAGGCUGAGAAGCUGACAAGUAGAAAACGGCCACCAGUUGCCAUCGAGAUUGAAUCAAUUCAAAAUCUCAUACAGAGAUAUAUCAUAGAGUGUACUUCCCUGAUGAUACGGAUGAAAGUUGUUUGGUGGAUUCGUUCACGAAAGCGUCUGAUGUUGCUGAUGAGCUCAAAGCCCGUCUCCAUCUUAAGUCAGUUGCUGGUUUUAGUUUGAUUGUGGUUGUGGGUGAGAAGGCAUUCUCAAUGCCAAGUGAUUCGUAUUUCUACGACUUCUUAUACGAAGUGUACGAAUGGUUGAAUAGCAUCUCCACACAACAAGAGUACACUGUUGCUGGUAUUCAAAGAGUCAAACCGCAAUUGCUAAUAUUCUUCAUCAAAAGUUAUGGCUUGAUGGACAAGUAGGUGUGGACCGAAAUGCUGACACGAUAUUCCACUACAAUCAAGAAGUGCAGAAAUACCUCAAAGGUUACCAGAAAUGUACUGAAGAAGAAGCAAUUCGUUUGUCCAGUUUGAUCUUGCGAAUUAAAUAUCCCAACCCGUUAAAAGAUUUGCCUAAUGUACUUGAUCAAAUUAUUCCAUAUUACAUCAAUAAGACAAAGAAUUCAUCGUAUUGGAAGAAAGCGUUGGCUGACGGUUAUCAAAAAUUGCAACGAUGGAUUAUGAUGAUGCAAAGAUAGCGUUUUUAACAAUUGUAUCGAAGUUGCCAACAUUUGGAUCAACAUUCUUUGAUGUGAAAGAAGUGCAGCAGAGCGAACCGGAGAUUAUUGCUAUUAAUCGGAAUGGAGUACAUAAAUUAAACUCGGUGACAAAGGAUAUUGUGAUGACCUAUAAACUGUCCGAAUUGGUUAACUGGUCUUCUGGAAAUACGUUCUUUUCGUUAACCGUCGGCGAUAUGCAGCGGACAAGAAAGAUUUUAUGGGAAACCACGCAGGGUUAUAAAAUGGACGAUUUGCUGUUUUCCUACGCAGAAUUUGCAAACAAACCUGCUAAGAAAUCCGAACAAAUAUUUGAUUUUUAAACUAUUAAGCUGUGUACUUUUAACGAUAAGGGUGUUGGGUGUAUGUUGAAAUGUUAUUAUAAACUCUAUUUCAAAUAAGUAUGAACUAAAUGUCAAAUACAUUUACAAAAUUUAAAAAUUA